UUCCGGUUGAUCCUGCCGGAGGCGACGCUAUUGGAGUUCGAUUAAGCCAUGCGAGUCGAGAGCUUUCGGAGCUCGGCAUACUGCUCAGUAACACGUGGAUAACCUGCCCUGUGCUCCGGGAUAACCUCGGGAAACUGAGAAUAAUACCGGAUAGUCCACCACGCCUGGAACGGUGGGUGGAUCAAAGGUCACGGCACAGGAUGGGUCUGCGGCGUAUCAGGUUGUAGGGGGUGUAAAGGACCCCCUAGCCAUUGACGCGUACGGGUUGUGGGAGCAAUCGCCCGGAGAUGGAUUCUGAGACACGAAUCCAGACCCUACGGGGUGCAGCAGGCGCGAAAACUUCACACUGCAGGAAACUGUGAUGAGGGAACUCCAAGUGCAUGCACAAUGUGUAUGCUCUUCCUAACUUUUAAUCGGUUAGGGAAUAAGGGCUGGGAAAGACCGGUGCCAGCCGCCGCGGUAAUACCGGCAGCUCAAGUGGUCGUCGCUUUUAUUGGGCCUAAAACGUCCGUAGCCUGUUUGGUAAAUCUGUGGGUAAAUCAACCAGCUUAACUGGUUGAAUUCUGCAGAGACUGGCAGACUAUGGACCGAGAGACGUGUGGGGUACUCUCGGGGUAAGGGUAAAUCCUG
rnacentral:rRNA from 1 species